rnacentral:rRNA from 1 species
UACGUAGGGGGCGAGCGUUGUCCGGAGUUACUGGGCGUAAAGCGCACGUAGGCGGUUCGUUAAGUCGGAUGUGAAAGCCCUCGGCUCAACUGAGGAAGUGCACCCGAAACUGGCGAGCUUGAGUACGAAAGAGGAUCGCGGAAUUCCCGGUGUAGAGGUGAAAUUCGUAGAUAUCGGGAGGAACACCGGUGGCGAAGGCGGCGAUCUGGGUCGAUACUGACGCUGAGGUGCGAAAGCGUGGGGAGCAAACAGG